rnacentral:lncRNA from 1 species
CGAGCGAGCGAUUUGAAAAUUUUAAUAAAAAAAUAUUUAAUUUGUAAAUUUUUUAGGCGAAGCUUGAAAAGUAAAGGCGAGCGAUUAUAAUUUUUUUUUGUAACCAUAAAAUAGUAGGUUUUGACAAUAUGAAAACUUGAUUUAUCACUUGUACUUUGACAUUUCUUUAAUUUCUGAGGUAUUUUUUCCCUGUUCACCAAGAAAUAAUUAAAUCUGGUCUAUGUAUGUGUGCCUGACAAUGAGACAAUUCUCCAACCAAGUCAUAAUCAGUUUGGGGGCAAUCCCUUAAAGUUAUAAAUAUUCUUUUUACAUGUUUUAUGAGGGAUCAAUAUAAGUUAUAAUAUAUUUGUUUGUACAAAAGGGCUCAUAUUUUCUCAAAGAACUAUAUAUCUAUCUGGUAUUAAAUGGUCAAAACAUGUCCAAGAAUUUUG